GCCCAGGUGGUGAAAUUGGUAGACACGCUACUUUGAGGGGGUAGUGCCGCAAGGUGUGCUGGUUCAAAUCCAGUCCUGGGCA
rnacentral:tRNA from 1 species